rnacentral:rRNA from 1 species
CCCUUAAAUGUUCUGGGCCGCACGCGCGCUACACUGAUGCAUUCAACAAGCCUAGCCUUGACCGAGAGGUCCGGGUAAUCUUUGAAACUGCAUCGUGAUGGGGCUAGAUUAUUGCAAUUAUUAAUCUUCAACGAGGAAUGCCAAGUAAGCGUGAUUCAUCAAAUCGCGUUGAUUACGUCCCUGCCCUUUGUACACACCGCCCGUCGCUCCUACCGAUUGAAUGUGUUGGUGAGGAGCUCGGAUUGGCAGCAGUUGGUGGUUCGCCACCGGCUAUUGCUGAGAAGUCCUCCAAACCGCCCCAUUUAGAGGAAGGAGAANUCGUANCA